UGCGCCAGACCGAAGUUCAUAGCCGACGGCGCCACACGCUUCGACGUCGAGCAAGGCGACUUGGGAGAUACUUGGCUCCUGCAGGCGGUGUCGACACUGACCCUCACGCCAAAGUUUCUCGACAGGGUGGUUCCUCCAGACCAGGCCUUUGAUCACACCUACUGUGGCAUCUUCAGGUUUCGGUUCUGGCAUUUCGGCGAGUGGGUCGAGGUCAUCAUCGACGACCGCCUGCCCACCUUCAAGGGUCGACUGGUCUACCUGCACUCGACAGACCCCUCCGAGUUCUGGGCAGCUCUGCUCGAGAAGGCUUAUGCCAAACUCUACGGGAGCUACGAGGCGCUUCAGCAAGGUUUCACCACCAGAGCUCUUCAGGACCUGACUGGAGGCAUCGUGCAGAGCUUCAGCCUGACCAGCAGGACAAAUUCC